rnacentral:rRNA from 1 species
GUGCGUGCGGGCAGCCUACACAUGCAAGUCGAGCGAGAUCUUCGGAUCUAGCGGCGGACGGGUGAGUAACGCGUGGGAACGUACCCUCUUCUGCGGGAUAGCCACUGGAAACGGUGAGUAAUACCGCAUACGCCCUUCGGGGGAAAGAUUUAUCGGAGGAGGAUCGGCCCGCGUUGGAUUAGGUAGUUGGUGGGGUAAUGGCCUACCAAGCCUACGAUCCAUAGCUGGUUUUAGAGGAUGAUCAGCCACACUGGGACUGAGACACGGCCCAGACUCCUACGGGAGGCAGCAGUGGGGAAUCUUAGACAAUGGGCGCAAGCCUGAUCUAGCCAUGCCGCGUGAGUGACGAAGGCCUUAGGGUCGUAAAGCUCUUUCGCCUGUGAUGAUAAUGACAGUAGCAGGUAAAGAAACCCCGGCUAACUCCGUGCCAGCAGCCGCGGUAAUACGGAGGGGGUUAGCGUUGUUCGGAAUUACUGGGCGUAAAGCGCACGUAGGCGGAUUGGAAAGUAUGGGGUGAAAUCCCAGGGCUCAACCCUGGAACGGCCUCAUAAACUUCCAGUCUGGAGUUCGAGAGAGGUGAGUGGAAUUCCGAGUGUAGAGGUGAAAUUCGUAGAUAUUCGGAGGAACACCAGUGGCGAAGGCGGCUCACUGGCUCGAUACUGACGCUGAGGUGCGAAAGUGUGGGGAGCAAACAGGAUUAGAUACCCUGG